rnacentral:rRNA from 1 species
GACGAACGCUGGCGGCGUGCCUAACACAUGCAAGUCGAACGGAAAGGCCCUGCUUUCGUGGGGUGCCCGAGUGGCGAACGGGUGAGUAACACGUGAGUAACCUGCACUUGACUUUGGGAUAACUUCAGGAAACUGGGGCUAAUACCGGAUAGGAGCUCCUGCCGCAUGGUGGGGGUUGGAACGUUGUGGCUGUUGGGGAUGGACUCGCGGCUUAGCAGCUUGUUGGUGGAGUAGUGGCUUACCAAGGCGUUGACGGGUAGCCGGCCUGAGAGGGGGACCAGCGCCCAUAGGACUAAGGGAGGGAGCAGUAGCGAAUGGGAGGCAACGGGGGGAAGUCUGACACAGCGACGGGGCGCGUGUGAAGAAGGCCCGCGGUGCGGAAAGCCCGCUUGUGGGUGAAGAACGGGUUUGGGCGUAAACGAAGAGGGAGUGACGGUAACGAAUAAGAAAGCAACGGCUAACUACGUG